GCCUCUCUGACACCGUGUACCACUGCCAGUCUUUUGGUUUAUUCCCGAGCAAAAUGCUAAGAUGCCAGGCUCUUCUCAGUUCUACUAGUUUUAUCGCGUUUUGAAUGAACCGUUUUGGGGCCAAGGGUAGUUCUGGCGCCAAAAAGAUCAUUUAAAGUUAAAUAGAUUCGUUUCGCCAAGACAGCAAGUAACGUGAGUUAGCGAGUUCCUUGUUAGCCACGCCACCAUUUCAUGCUAGCCCCGCAGUGUUGUAAGAUGAUGCUUACUAACUCCUUACACCAAGCACCUCAGCCGAGAAGAAUCGAGAUUGAUUUCAAUAUCACUGCAGUGUACUUACUGCCUUGUACGGAAUAGUUUGGUGCAGAACAUCAAACUUGCUCCAGUGGCGGAGGAGUACGACUCUUACCUGAGCCUGAGGCCAUCAUCGUUUGUCGGAGGUUGUAUACACACUGCUCAGAUGCGUCACAAAGCGCCGUAUCACGCUUGGAUUAGCGGCAUAUUGCUGGAACACGUGCACAGUUCCUGGGGUACUCUGUCGUCUGUUCUGCAUGGCCAUGCAGAAGUCCACGAUCACCGAUCCAAGAGCUAGUUACGGAGCAGAGGCAUGGGAAAGAGAGACCUACAGCAAUGUCUACAGUGUCCCAGGUCCUCCGUUCCCUGGCUGGUUGCAUCGACAGCCUGCCGUCUUACCGCCACGGACAGCUAGAGCGCCACAGUACACGCUAGUCUUGGACAUUGACGGCACGAUGACCUACACGUCUCGUUGCGGCCAAGAUCGCGAUGACGUGGGGAGGUUAAAGGACAGAGCUGGCAAAUGUCUCUAUGUGUAUGACCGACCGUUUCUAAAGGAGUUCCUGAAGCGCGUGGCGCGCAAGUACGAACUCAUUGUGUACACAGCUGCAGCUCAAAGCUAUGCAGAGGGAAUCCUAACUCAUCUGAACCUACAACAAGACGAGCCUGUUUUCAACCUCAAGUCGAUACUGCACAGAGAUCAUUGUCUCCUGAAAGGUGGCUACAAAAUCAAAUGUCUAGCCAAAGUGGGAAGAGACAUGAGCAAGACGAUCUUCCUGGAAGACAAUCAGCGGAACGCUGCCUACAACUGGCCAAAUGUCAUCUACGUCAAUGAGUGGUCAGGAGCGCCAGAUGACAAUACACUCGAGCCACUCUUACCAUUCUUGGAGGCCAUAGUGGAUUUCCAACACAAUGAUGUCCGCCCAGUAAUUCAGCAUUACGGGCCAAUUAGCACAGUGUAUCGACUCAAAGAGGAUGGCUACUGGGACCACUGAACCAGAUCGCUCACGAUCACGACUGAGUACAUUCUCGACGAGCUCUGCGAAUCGUGGUGUUUUCAUGUCCGGAUUAGUUUGAGAAGGCAAUCACCACCACAACUUUACAAGGAGCAUGUUGGUCUGGUUCAUCCUUCAGAGUCUCCAAGGACACCUAUUCCUAGCGCCAGUGGCAGAGCAUACCAUACGGUUACCCCCCCCCCCCCCCCCGGAUAGGAGAGCCCAUGUGCACAUCACGUGAUACGUAUUUCGAAUACGAAGUAUUCCAGUGUCCUCACUGCCCCUCACACUGUUACAGCUAUCAAUGAACCCUAAAAACCACUGUCUUGGUGUGAAUACCUGUAUCUACAGCACGCUGCAAGUUUCGAUUUGGUAUUAGAUAAGCCUUGUUUGUUCAAAUAUGUUGUUGGUUUGAGACCCCAACGAUCGAAUUCGAUCGUUUGGUAUACAGUGACACUAAAAUAUUUA